rnacentral:rRNA from 1 species
GCCCUUUCGGGGGUACUCGAGUGGCGAACGGGUGAGUAACACGUGGGUGAUCUGCCCUGCACUUUGGGAUAAGCCUGGGAAACUGGGUCUAAUACCGAAUAGGACUCCGGACUGCAUGGUCUGGGGUGGAAAGCUUUUGCGGUGUGGGAUGGGCCCGCGGCCUAUCAGCUUGUUGGUGGGGUGAUGGCCUACCAAGGCGACGACGGGUAGCCGGCCUGAGAGGGUGUCCGGCCACACUGGGACUGAGAUACGGCCCAGACUCCUACGGGAGGCAGCAGUGGGGAAUAUUGCACAAUGGGCGCAAGCCUGAUGCAGCGACGCCGCGUGAGGGAUGACGGCCUUCGGGUUGUAAACCUCUUUCGCCAGGGACGAAGCGCAAGUGACGGUACCUGGAGAAGAAGCACCGGCCAACUACGUGCCAGCAGCCGCGGUAAUACGUAGGGUGCGAGCGUUGUCCGGAAUUACUGGGCGUAAAGAGCUCGUAGGUGGUUUGUCGCGUUGUUCGUGAAAACUCACAGCUUAACUGUGGGCGUGCGGGCGAUACGGGCAGACUGGAGUACUGCAGGGGAGACUGGAAUUCCUGGUGUAGCGGUGGAAUGCGCAGAUAUCAGGAGGAACACCGGUGGCGAAGGCGGGUCUCUGGGCAGUAA